rnacentral:rRNA from 1 species
CGUGAGAUGUUGGGUUAAGUCCCGCAACGAGCGCAACCCCUACCGCCAGUUGCCAUCAUUCAGUUGGGCACUCUGGUGGAACUGCCGGUGACAAGCCGGAGGAAGGCGGGGAUGACGUCAAGUCCUCAUGGCCCUUAUGGGUUGGGCUACACACGUGCUACAAUGGCGGUGACAGUGGGAUGCGAAGUCGCAAGAUGGAGCCAAUCCCCAAAAGCCGUCUCAGUUCGGAUUGCACUCUGCAACUCGGGUGCAUGAAGUUGGAAUCGCUAGUAAUCGCGGAUCAGCACGCCGCGGUGAAUACGUUCCCGGG